rnacentral:rRNA from 1 species
AGCGAACGCUGGCGGCAGGCUUAACACAUACAAGUCGAGCGCCCGUAGCAAUACGGGAGCGGCAGACGGGAGAGUAACACGUGGGAACAUGCCCUUCGGUUCGGAAUAACUCAGGGAAACUUGAGCUAAUACCGGAUACGUCCGUAAGGAGAAAGAUUUAUCGCCGAAGGAUUGGCCCGCGUCCGAUUAGCUUGUUGGUGAGGUAAUGGCUCACCAAGGCGACGAUCGGUAGCUGGUCUGAGAGGAUGAUCAGCCUCACUGGGACUGAGACACGGCCCAGACUCCUACGGGAGGCAGCAGUGGGGAAUAUUGGACAAUGGGCGAAAGCCUGAUCCAGCCAUGCCGCGUGGGUGACGAAGGCCUUAGGGUUGUAAAGCCCUUUCGGC